CCAAUAGCGUAUAUUAAAGUUGUUGCAGUUAAAAAGCUCGUAGUUGAAUUUCGAAACCGGCUUACUGGUCGUGCUAUUGUGCGUACUGGUAUAAUCGGUUUCUCCUUUCUGACGAACUAUAAUGCCAUUAAUUUGGUGUUAUAGGGAAUCAGGACUGUUACUUUGAAAAAAUUAGAGUGUUUAAAGCAGGCUCACGCUUGAAUACAUUAGCAUGGAAUAACGGAAUAGGACGUUUGAUUCUAUUUUGUUGGUUUCUAGGAUCGACGUAAUGAUUAAUAGGGAUAGUUGGGGGCAUUAGUAUUCAAUUGUCAGAGGUGAAAUUCUUGGAUUUAUUGAAGACUAACUACUGCGAAAGCAUUUGCCAAGGAUGUUUUCAUUAAUCAAGAACGAAAGUUAGGGGAUCGAAGACGAUCAGAUACCGUCGUAGUCUUAACCAUAAACUAUGCCGACUAGGGAUCGGAUGAUGUUAAUUUUUUAAUGACUCAUUCGGCGCCUUACG
rnacentral:rRNA from 1 species